CGUUUAAAAUAAAUAAACACCUAAAGUGCACGCUGGCAGUUGAUUACGAUACAUCUAAAAACUUGAGUCAUUACAGUAAAACAUGGAUUAUAAGUGAUUUAUACGAGUAAGAGAAGAUUUUCUGUCGAAAAAACGAACUGUCAACAAUCAGCAUGGAACUGGGAUAUUCAGAUUUUCGUAUCAAAGGGCUAUGAAUGAAAAUGACUGAAUAUUACUAAGUCACCAACACUGGGUUAUGAAGAAUUCCAGCCUGCAUUAAAUACUAUGUUGGAUCCUUGAGACAGAUUUGACAGCCAUGUCUAUCCACAAGGCAGUCGCAUCUGAUAGAGAUGAUCACUAAACAUUCUGGAUUGGAUUGAGUAGUUAUCAUCUGUGCUCUCACUACAAGUACAAAGGCAUGGGAACAGACCAAACUUCAAAUGUUGAAGAGUGAAGAAUUAUUGUGAAAAAAUCUAAAUGUUAGAAUACCAAUGACAAAAUAAG